GCGGCAGUGGCGGAAUCGGCAGACGCACCAGACUUAGGAUCUGGCGGGUGACACCGUGGGGGUUCAAGUCCCUUCUGCCGCACCA
rnacentral:tRNA from 1 species